rnacentral:lncRNA from 1 species
AUGUUACUCCCAGCUAUUGGAUCAUCAUUUUUAGACAGUAUAUCGGAGGAGCUUUGUAUUUCUGCUGCCAAGAUGGUCUUUUUGUGAAGAACACUACAAGUAUGUCAAUGAAUACUCCAAUUGGAACACUGCCAAUUGUAACCUGAUAUGUGAAAGAGGUGCACUUUUCUUUCAGGAAGAGCUAUAAUUCACACCUUGUGUACAAUGGUGAAAUCUUGUU